rnacentral:rRNA from 1 species
GAUGAACGCUAGCGGCAGGCUUAACACAUGCAAGUCGAGGGGUAUGCUUCUUCGGAAGCAGAGACCGGCGCACGGGUGCGUAACGCGUAUGCAAUCUACCUUUUACAGAGGGAUAGCCCAGAGAAAUUUGGAUUAAUACCUCAUAGUAUUAUAGAAUGGCAUCAUUUUAUAAUUAAAGUCACAACGGUAAAAGAUGAGCAUGCGUCCCAUUAGCUAGUUGGAAGGUAACGGCUUACCAAGGCUACGAUGGGUAGGGGUCCUGAGA